UUGAGGGUGAGACGUGAUGCCGAGCCGUAUCAGGUGAAGUGGAUGAUCCUAUGCUGCCGAGAAAAGCCUCUAGCGAUGUUGUGCGCGGCCCGUACCCUAAACCGACACAGGUGGUCAGGUAGAGAAUACCAAGGCGAUCGGGUGAACUGUGGUUAAGGAACUCGGCAAAUUGCCCCCGUAACUUAGGGAGAAGGGGGGCCACUGCUGGUGAACGGACUUGCUUCGGGAGCUGGUGGUGGUCGCAGAGAGCAGGGGGAAGCGACUGUUUACUAAAAACACAGGUCCAUGCCAAGUCGUAAGACGCUGUAUAUGGACUGACGCCUGCCCGGUGCUGGAACGUUAAAAGGACCUGUUAGCCUCUAGGGGCGAAGCGGAGAAUUGAAGCGCCAGUAAACGGCGGUGGUAACUAUAACCAUCCUAAGGUAGCGAAAUUCCUUGUCGGGUAAGUUCCGACCUGCACGAAUGGCGUAACGACUUCCCCACUGUCUCAACCACAGGCCCGGCGAAAUUGCAGUACGAGUAAAGAUGCUCGUUACGCGCGGCAGGACGGAAAGACCCCGGGACCUUCACUAUAGCUUGACAUUGGCAUUUGAAUUUAAUUGUGUAGGAUAGGUGGGAGCCUGUGAAGUGUGGACGCCAGUCCAUGUGGAGGCAAUCUUGAAAUACCACUCUGUUGAAUUUGGGUGUCUACCACGGACCCUGAUCGGGUUCUGGGACCGUGUCUGGUGGGUAGUUUAACUGGGGCGGUUGCCUCCUAAAAGGUAACGGAGGCGCCCAAAGGUUCCCUCAGCCUGGUUGGCAAUCAGGUGUUGAGUGUAAGUGCACAAGGGAGCUUGACUGUGAGACUGACAGGUCGAGCAGGGACGAAAGUCUGGACUAGUGAUCCGGCACCGGCAUGUGGAAGCGGUGUCGCUCAACGGAUAAAAGGUACCCCGGGGAUAACAGGCUGAUCUUCCCCAAGAGUCCAUAUCGACGGGAUGGUUUGGCACCUCGAUGUCGGCUCGUCGCAUCCUGGGGCUGGAGUAGGUCCCAAGGGUUGGGCUGUUCGCCCAUUAAAGCGGUACGCGAGCUGGGUUUAGAACGUCGUGAGACAGUUCGGUCCCUAUCCGCCGCGCGCGUAGGAAACUUGAGAAGGGCUGUCCCUAGUACGAGAGGACCGGGACGGACGAACCUCUAGUGUGCCAGUUAUCCCGCCAGGGGUACGGCUGGUUAGCCACGUUCGGAAGGGAUAACCGCUGAAAGCAUCUAAGCGGGAAGCCUGCUUCAAGACCACGUUUCCCACCCGUACAGCAAUGUGCGGGGUAAGGCCCCCGGCCAGACCACCGGGUAGACAGGCCAGAUGUGUAAGCCCAGCAAUGGGUUCAGCUGACUGGUACUGAUAGGCCGAGGACUUCACAG
rnacentral:rRNA from 1 species